rnacentral:lncRNA from 1 species
CAAUAUUAUAUAACGUUGCUAUUGUUACAACGUAAAGAAAAACUGUGCAGGAAACUUUGUAGAAGACUUUGUAGCUGAAUCGUUGAUGUAGUUGGAAGAAUUCAAAUGUGGUGGUCUAACAACAUCCUUAUCCAGUGUUUAGAAUAUGAGUUCUUUGAUUAUCUUUAUUGUAAUGAACACAAGUAGAUGAGCAACUUGAAUUAUCGGGAUUUCAUAAGUAAAGUGGAUCGGCAACUUGGAAAGGUUUACUUGAUCACCACUAUCCUGUCUGCCAGUAAUUAAAAAUAAAUAAAUAAAUUUAACUUGUAAACUUUAUUAUUAAGAUUACGAUUCUUAAAUUGGAAAAUAAAUACAAUAUUGGCAUUUAACUCCUGUGUCACAAAACAUAUGUCUAAAAGCCUUAUAUAUAUAUA